rnacentral:misc_RNA from 1 species
UCAAACUUGGUCAUUUAGAGGAAGUAAAAGUCGUAACAAGGUUUCCGUAGGUGAACCUGCGGAAGGAUCAUUACCGAGUGCGGGCGUUUCGCCCAACCUCCCACCCGUGUUGACCUGUGACCGUGUUGCUUCGGCGGGCCCAUCGGGGCCUGUACCCGAUCGCUGGGGGACCCUGCGUCCCCGGGCGAGUGCCCGCCGGAGAACCCCUGAACCCUGCAUGAAUUGGGUGUCUGAGUCUUGAUUGAAUCGUUAAAACUUUCAACAACGGAUCUCUUGGUUCCGGCAUCGAUGAAGAACGCAGC